CAGUCGCCGCGGGAAUACGAAGGGUGCAAGCGUUACUCGGAAUUACUGGGCGUAAAGCGUGCGUAGGUGGUGGUUUAAGUCCGUUGUGAAAGCCCUGGGCUCAACCUGGGAAUUGCAGUGGAUACUGGGUCACUAGAGUGUGUCAGAGGAUGGUGGAAUUCCCGGUGUAGCGGUGAAAUGCGUAGAGAUCGGGAGGAACAUCAGUGGCGAAGGCGGCCAUCUGGGACAACACUGACGCUGAGGCACGAAAGCGUGGGGAGCAAACAGGAUUAGAUACCCCCGUAGUCCCUGUCUCUUAUAC
rnacentral:rRNA from 1 species